rnacentral:rRNA from 1 species
UACAGAGGUCUCAAGCGUUGUUCGGAUUCAUUGGGCGUAAAGGGUGCGUAGGCGGCGCGGUAAGUCGGAUGUGAAAUCUUGGAGCUUAACUCCGAAACUGCAUUCGAUACUGCCGUGCUUGAGGACUGGAGAGGAGACUGGAAUUUACGGUGUAGCGGUGAAAUGCGUAGAUAUCGUAAGGAAGACCAGUGGCGAAGGCGGGUCUCUGGACAGUUCCUGACGCUGAGGCACGAAGGUCAGGGGAGCAAACGGG